GCGGGCGUAGUUUAGUGGUAGAAUAUCUGGCUUCCAACCAGAGGACGAGAGUUCGAUUCUCUCCGCCCGCA
rnacentral:tRNA from 1 species